UCCUUUGGCGGUUGAUGGUCCAAAGUAGAAAGGGUGCAGAGGAGGCAUCUCGAUCAGCUGAUCCUAAAGAAAUGAUCAAAUUAUAUGUAGAAGAGUGAUGUUUCUGUUGUAGGGAUUUAAGGAAACUUGAAGGUACUUAGACAUGUUAAACCUCUCCAAUGUAAUAAAUAUGUUGAAGUUGUCCAAGAUUUAGUCGACUCAUUUCUUGUAUAUAGAUCAUGAAGUGUGUUAUUGAUCGUGAAGUGUGUUAUUGAAGGUACUUAGACAUGUUAAACCUCUCCAAUGUAAUAAAUAUGUUGAAGUUGUCCAAGAUUUAGUCGACUCGUUUCUUGUAUAUAGAUCGUGAAGUGUGUUAUUGAUCGUGAAGUGUGUUAUUGAAGGUACUUAGACAUGUUAAACCUCUCCAAUGUAAUAAAUAUGUUGAAGUUGUCCAAGAUUUAGUCGACUUUUUUAAUUUUUUUUUUUUUUUUUUUUUUUUUUUUUUGUGGUGAUUUUGUCU
rnacentral:lncRNA from 1 species